ensembl:lncRNA novel transcript
CAACCGUAAAGAAAAAAAAAAAAGAAAGAAAGAAAGAGAAAGAAAGAAGAAAGAAAGAAAAGAAAAAGAAAAAGAAAAAGAAAAAAGCAUCUCCAAAUGUAUCUCCCAGUAACUCUGUUCCUGAUCUUUGAUGGACCUCUGGUGUAUUUUUGUUCUUGUUGCUGGGAGGGAGAAUGUCUUAGAUAGUCCACAUGACAAGUUUUUUCAAUAAUCUCUAGUCAAUUUCUGACACAAUCUGAGUGAGAAAGAGUAAUUUUAAAAUGAAAAACAAGUUCAUUUUCAACCAAUAGAAAAUGAAUAGGGGACUGCUCCAGCCAGAGACAGAAGGUCAAGUUCCUGUUACCAAUUCAUGGCUACCCAAAUGCUCUGGAGACACUGAGCAAAAAGAUUGAGUCAAUGUAAGAAGGACACAUCCCUAUCUCUACUCAACAAUUUCCAGGGCCCGUUCCUUUCACUCUAAAAGUUUUCUUCAACUUUAAUUAUAAUCUUAUUUUAAAUAUGGCUCCUGAGCUCAGGAGAAAAAUCUGGAGUAUGAAGAAAACAAGACUAGAGUCAAGACCAGCUGACCGGAAGAUCCUGGAUACUUGAGCUUUUCUUGAAGACUAUCCUUCCACCCUUAAAUGUACAUGUGCUGCCUGAGAAGUUCUCAAUUGAUGAUAGUUCAAAAUUUGCAUAACUUCACAUAUCUUUGAUGUAACUGAAUAAAUGCUUUCCAAAAU